UUAGGAAUAUUCCGCAAUGGGGGAAACCCUGACGGAGCGACACCGCGUGAAGGAUGAAGCCCUUUUUGGGUGUAAACUUCUGUUGUGAGGGACGAAAUUUUUGACGGUACCUCACGAGAAAGCACCGGCUAAUUCUGUGCCAGCAGCCGCGGUAAGACAGAAGGUGCAAGCGUUACUCGGAAUUACUGGGCGUAAAGCGUCUGUAGGUGUCCUAUAAAGUCUGGUGUCAAAUCGCAGGGCUCAACCCCGCGUCCACACUGGAAACUGAUGGGAUCGAGUUGGUCAGAGGCAUCUGGAAUGUCGUGUGUAGGGGUAAAAUCCGUAGAUACACGAUGGAACGCCAAAAGCGAAGGCAGGAUGCUAGGACCAUACUGACACUCAGAGACGAAAGCGUGGGGAGCAAAGGGG
rnacentral:rRNA from 1 species